rnacentral:rRNA from 1 species
UACGUAGGGUGCGAGCGUUAAUCGGAAUCACUGGGCGUAAAGCGCACGUAGGCGGAUAUGUCAGUCAGGGGUGAAAUCCCGGGGCUCAACCUCGGAACUGCCCUUGAUACAGCAUAUCUUGAGUCCGAUAGAGGUGGGUGGAAUUCCUAGUGUAGAGGUGAAAUUCGUAGAUAUUAGGAAGAACACCGGUGGCGAAGGCGGCCCACUGGAUCGGUACUGACGCUGAGGUGCGAAAGCGUGGGGAGCAAACAGG